UGGGGAAUUUUGGACAAUGGGGGCAACCCUGAUCCAGCCGUGCCGCGUGCGGGAAGAAGGCCUCGGUUGUAACCGACUUUGUUCAGGAAGCGGUACCUGAAGAAUAAGCACCGGCUAACUACGUGCCAGCAGCCGCGGUAAUACGUAGGGUGCAAGCGUUAAUCGGAAUUACUGGGCGUAAAGCGUGCGCAGGUGGUUGUGCAAGACAGAUGUGAAAUCCCCGGGCUUAACCUGGGAACUGCAUUUGUGACUGCACGGCUAGAGUACGGCAGAGGGGGAUGGAAUUCCGCGUGUAGCAGUGAAAUGCGUAGAUAUGCGGAGGAACACCGAUGGCGAGGGCGGUCCCCUGGGCCAGUACUGACGCUCAUGCACGAAAGCGUGGGGAGC
rnacentral:rRNA from 1 species